rnacentral:rRNA from 1 species
GAUGAACGCUGGCGGCGUGCCUAAUACAUGCAAGUCGAGCGAACAGACGAAGAGCUUGCUCCUCUGACGUUAGCGGCGGACGGGUGAGUAACACGUGGAUAACCUACUUAUAAGACUGGGAUAACUUCGGGAAACCGGAGCUAAUACCGGAUAAUAUAUUGAACCGCAUGGUUCAAUAGAGAAAGACGGUUUUGCUGUCACUUAUAGAUGGAUCCGCGCCGCAUUAGGUAGUUGGUAAGGUAACGGCUUACCAAGGCAACGAUGCGUAGCCGACCAGAGAGGGGGAUAGGCGACAUUGGAAGUGAGACACGGACCAGACUCCUACGGGAGGCAGCAGUAGGGAAUCUGCGGCAAUGGGCGAAAGCCUGACGGAGCAACGCCGCGUGAGUGAUGAAGGUCUUGGGAGCGUAAAACUCUGUUAUGAGGGAAGAACAACUGUGUAAGUAACUAUGCACGUCGUGACGGUACCUGAUCAGAAAGCCACGGCUAACUACGUG